UCAAAUAGGCCCUGAGGAGACAGGGGGCUAAAGGACUCGAGGACAAAGGGUAGCAUUGGGUAGAAUUCUGAGGGGAACCUUUUAUACAACCCUGAAGCACCAUGUGAUUCUCUCCAUGGCCACCGCAUGUGCUCUAGGCGACAACACAGCCACGCCAAUUCCAGGAUGAGCUCAGACACUAGGAAUUGGCCCAUGGGAGCCCGAAGUUCUGGAUGUUCCCUUCCCAAAGCUUCACGGCAUGCAGAGGACUCAGGAGUUCAUUGUUCCUGAAUUUCUCCUGAGACAAAAGACUGGAGAGGUUGGCAUUUUCAGCAUUUCAAGGUCCUUCUUUCUCUGGAUGCAGUGGGAGCAGGCGAAGGAGUUGUGCUGAUGCCUUUGAAGGUAUGUUCUCAAGAUGCAGAUGUGAUUCCGCAACAUAAUCUUGCCUGAGGAUACAAUCCAAAGCAUGAGGAGAAAGAGGAGGAAAGAGCAGGCUCUCAGAUAAGUCAGCUGAAACUCAGAGAGAUUAAAUGAUGCAUCCAAAGCCAUUCAGCAAGGAAGUUUUCUGAAUGUGGAUUUGAACCCAGAUCUGCCUGGUGUCAAUGCUCAUGAUAUUUUUCUAUUCAGAUACUCUCUUACUUUAUUUUAAACAUAGGAUUAUUAGACUUCAGAGAUGAAAGAGCAUUUGAGAUUACUCAUUCCAACAACUUCAAUUCAUGUUUUAGGGAACUGUAGCCUAGAGGAGUUAGACCACUUAGUUAAGGUCAUGUAACCAUAAAGUUAUUGGGUUGGGCAUAAAGUUCGUUUGUUUUUUUCCGUAAGAU